UACGGGGGGGGUAAGCGUUGUUCGGAAUUACUGGGCGUAAAGGGCUCGUAGGCGGCCAACUAAGUCAUACGUGAAAUCCCUCGGCUUAACCGGGGAACUGCGUCUGAUACUGGAUGGCUUGAGUUUGGGAGAGGGACGCGGAAUUCCAGGUGUAGCGGUGAAAUGCGUAGAUAUCUGGAGGAACACCGGUGGCGAAGGCGGCGUCCUGGACCAACACUGACACUGAUGAGCGAAAGCCAGGGGAGCAAACGGG
rnacentral:rRNA from 1 species